UCAUUAGUUUCGCUUGAACUAGAACACUUUAAUACCUGAACUGGGUAGGGGUUUAUUGAGUGUCACGUGUGACUGCAUGUUAGGAAUAUGGCCAUGUCAAAAGAAUGGUUCACAAAAUUAAGAGAAGAGAUCAUCGCCCUUCACAAACAAGGAAAAGGUUACAAAAAGAUAGAAAAGGCACCGAAUGUUCCUAGAAACACCGUUGGAAGCAUAGUACGCAAGUUCAAAGUUGAAGGAGGAG